GAUGAACGCUGGCGGCGUGCCUAAUACAUGCAAGUCGAGCGAACGGACGAGAAGCUUGCUUCUCUGAUGUUAGCGGCGGACGGGUGAGUAACACGUGGAUAACCUACCUAUAAGACUGGGAUAACUUCGGGAAACCGGAGCUAAUACCGGAUGAUAUUUUGAACCGCAUGGUUCAAAAGUGAAAGACGGUCUUGCUGUCACUUAUAGCUGGAUCCGCGCUGCAUUAGCUAGUUGGUAAGGUAACGGCUUACCAAGGCAACGAUGCAUAGCCGACCUGAGAGGGUGAUCGGCCACACUGGAACUGAGACACGGUCCAGACUCCUACGGGAGGCAGCAGUAGGGAAUCUUCCGCAAUGGGCGAAAGCCUGACGGAGCAACGCCGCGUGAGUGAUGAAGGUCUUCGGAUCGUAAAACUCUGUUAUUAGGGAAGAACAGAUGUGUAAGUAACUGUGCACAUCUUGACGGUACCUAAUCAGAAAGCCACGGCUAACUACGUG
rnacentral:rRNA from 1 species